UACAGAGGGUGCAAGCGUUAAUCGGAUUUACUGGGCGUAAAGCGCGCGUAGGCGGCUAAUUAAGUCAAAUGUGAAAUCCCCGAGCUUAACUUGGGAAUUGCAUUCGAUACUGGUUAGCUAGAGUGUGGGAGAGGAUGGUAGAAUUCCAGGUGUAGCGGUGAAAUGCGUAGAGAUCUGGAGGAAUACCGAUGGCGAAGGCAGCCAUCUGGCCUAACACUGACGCUGAGGUGCGAAAGCAUGGGGAGCAACAGG
rnacentral:rRNA from 1 species